UAGGGAAUCUUCCACAAUGGGCGCAAGCCUGAUGGAGCAACGCCGCGUGUGUGAUGAAGGCUUUCGGGUCGUAAAGCACUGUUGUAUGGGAAGAAAUGCUAGGAUAGGGAAUGACUCUAGUUCGACGGUACCAUACCAGAAAGGGACGGCUAAAUACGUGCCAG
rnacentral:rRNA from 1 species